GGCUGGGCUACCGCGGCUGCAGAGGGACAUCUUUCAAGAACAGGCGCCGGCCUCGGCGUCCGCCGCGCAGUUAGGAAACUGACUGUCGCUCUCUCCGGCCUCGGCGCUGCUUCGGACGCCCCGGCACCGGCCCCCGUUGCUUUGUAGCAUUCUGCAGCUGGGCUGCAGGCGCCGUGGGCCUCCGCCAGUUGUGUUCGAGACGCGGUUCGGCCACAGAAGUUUUAGCUUGUGACUUUUGGCAAGUCAGUGGCCCUCUCUGGGCCUCAGGUGCCUUUUUUGCUGUGAGACCAGCGACUGUAUUUUUAACCCUGAUUUUAUCCCUAGAUCUACCCAACACAUAGUAGGUGCUCAAAAGAUAUUUAUGAGUGAAUGAAUGCAUCAUGAGAAGAAAUUGGACCAGAUGAGGCCCUGUGAAGCUGCUUGGGUCUUUUUUUGUUCUUUUUUUUUUCUCUCUUCUGAGUGUCCCUGGCCUGGACUAGAAAUUCUCCAUCCUUCGGCCUUCUGCGAGACUGCAGGAACAUUACUUUUGAAGGAUGCUAAGGAAUCCGAGGGAUGAAAAAAAUCAAGAGAUUGCAAUGAUGUCACAAAACAAGGAAACAAGUGCAGCAUCUUCACUCCGAAGCAGAAAUUUGCCAAAAAAGCAUCCUCUUUUUAUCAGAAAAUAAAAUAUCCUGGUUUCUUAGCCUGGCAUUCUUGGAUCCCCACAGUUUGAUCCCAACCGACAACUCCUUAUUUGAAACUUCAGAUUCUCCCAAACCGUCACCUUCCUCGUGGACUUAAUCCUGGAAGGCCCUUCUACCCCACUUCGCCUUAUCUCACACAAACACAGUCUCUCUCUGACUGAGAUAAACUUGAACACUUCUUUUCUUUUCUUUUUUUUUUUCUUUAAAUUUCGGGUUUCAAAAUACAAAUGGCCUAAUCACAACAUUUCUGUAAUGUUGUCUAAAUUCAGGUACUGGUUUGAAUAGAGGACAAAAAUAAAACAAGGUUUGAAGACUAAGUA
rnacentral:lncRNA from 1 species